rnacentral:ncRNA from 1 species
AUUCUUGUUGGGCUAGCCACAUGAAGCAUUGAUUUAAAGAUGGGAGCUUUGGCACAAGUGAAAUACCACUACUUUUAACAUUAUUUUACUUACUCCAUGAGAUGGAGACAAGGCCUAGCCCCUUCUUCUUAUCCCAAGGCCAGCUCAUGCAGGCCAAUCUAGGCAGAUGACAUUGUCAGGUGGGGAGUUUGGCUGGGGCGGCACAUCUGUUAAAAGAUAAUGUAGGUGUCCUAAGAUGGAGAUGUUGCCACUGCUAUAUUGGCCUACUUGCCAUUGCAAGGUACAUUAAAGCU